rnacentral:lncRNA from 1 species
CCUUUUUCUUUAAUUUUUGUGGGUAUAACAGAUUCGAGCAAUGCAGAAAGGAAGUAAAACAUUAUUUCACUCUUUCAGAAUGUGUUUGGUUACGGUAAAAACAAGUGGGGUUUCCACCUAUUUCCGAUUAUGAAAAAGUUUCUCAUUUCAUUGCUGAUGUUUAAGAAUGGUCAUUGGUAUUUUAGUAGAAGGAACACUUGAGAGUUUUCUGUGGCUACUAUAAUAUACUAAAUAACCUCUUUCCUCCUUCUCACCCCGCAAGUCGCCCAAAAUGUGUGGAUGAAGUUGCUUUCCAGGAAGAAGUGGUUGCAGUGCUGAAAAAAUCUUUAGAAGGAGCAGAUCUUCCUAAUCUCUUGUUUUACGGACCACCUGGAACUGGAAAAACAUCCACUAUUUUGGCAGCAGCUAGAGAACUCUUUGGGCCUGAACUUUUCCGAUUAAGAGUUCUUGAGUUAAAUGCAUCUGAUGAACGUGGAAUACAAGUAGUUCGAGAGAAAGUGAAAAAUUUUGCUCAAUUAACUGUGUCAGGAAGU